rnacentral:rRNA from 1 species
AAUAUUGCGCAAUGGGGGAAACCCUGACGCAGCGACGCCGCGUGAAGGAAGAAGGUUUUCGGAUUGUAAACUUCUAUCAGCAGGGAAGAUGAUGACAGUACCUGACUAAGAAGCCCCGGCUAACUACGUGCCAGCAGCCGCGGUAAUACGUAGGGGGCCAGCGUUAUCCGGCUUUACGGGGGGUAAAGGGAGCGUAGGUGGUUCGGCAAGUCCGAUGUGGAAGGCCGGGGCUCAACCCCGGGACUGCAUUUUAAACUGUCGGACUAGGGUGCAGGGGAGGUAAGUGGAAUUCCUAGUGUAGCGGUGAAAUGCGUAGAUAUUAGGAGGAACACCAGUGGCGAAGGCGGCUUACUGGACUGUAACUGACACUGAGGCUCGAAAGCGUGGGGAGCAAACAGG